rnacentral:rRNA from 1 species
UACGGGGGGGGCAAGCGUUGUUCGGAAUUACUGGGCGUAAAGGGCUCGUAGGCGGCCAACUAAGUCAGACGUGAAAUCCCUCGGCUUAACCGGGGAACUGCGUCUGAUACUGGAUGGCUUGAGAUUGGGAGAGGGAUGCGGAAUUCCAGGUGUAGCGGUGAAAUGUGUAGAGAUCGGGAGGAACACCGGUGGCGAAGGCGGGUCUCUGGGCAAUUCCUGACGCUGAGGCGCGAAAGCGUGGGGAGCAAACGGG